GCCCUUUUAGCUCAGUGGUCGAGCACUCGUUUCGCAAGCGAGAGGCCGGCAAUUCGAUCCCAUUCGGACU